GCCAAAAACCUAGUCCUACUUCCCCCUCAUGAAAUCCUUACUAUUUCAGCACUAAACAAAACAUUUUUUCUUUUAAGUAAAGGAGAUUGAAAGACUUUUAGGAACUACAACAAGAGUACCGCAAGGGAAAGAUGAAAUAGAACUGAAAUAAAAAUAAAGCACAAUAAAGCAGAGCUUUUCCUCGUACCUUUUGCAUCAUGGUUUAGCUAGAAAAAUCAAGCAAAAAGAAUUUUAGUUUGACUCCCCGAAACCAGGUGAGCUACUUCAAAACAGCCUCCUAGGGCUAACCCGUCUCUGUUGCAAAAGAGUGGGAAGAUUUUCAAGUAGCGGUGACAGACCUACCGAACCUGGAGAUAGCUGGUUAUUUAGGAAAAGGAUCUUAGUCCUACCUUAAGUUUUUAUAAUACCACAACAUCUCUCUAAAACUUAAGAGCUAUUCAAAUAAGGUACAGCCUAUUUGAUACAGGGAACAACCUAAAACACAGGGUAACACACGACAGCACGUGCUUAAGUGGGCCUAAAAGCAGCCAACUUUUAAAAAGCGUUAAAGCUUCACCACGAGCCACUCUAAUACUAAAAUUUUAUAAAAACCCUCAACCAAUACUAAAUAACUCUAUAACCUUAUAGAAAAAAUUAUGCUAAAACUAGUAACAAGAAUUUGCUAUUCUCCUAAAUGUGAGUGCAAGCCAAGAAGAACAAAUCAUUGGCAUCUAACGCCACAGAUUAUUAAGCAGCAACACCUCAAGAAAACCCUGCUUAAAAUUACGUUAACCUAACACCAGAACAUUUCAGGAAAGAUUAAAAGAAGUGGAAGGAACUCGGCAAACUUUAACCCCGCCUGUUUACCAAAAACAUCGCCUUCUGCAAAAAUAGAAGGUCUAGCCUGCCCAGUGACCAAGUUAAACGGCCGCGGUACCCUAACCGUGCGAAGGUAGCGCAAUCACUUGUUCUUUAAAUGAGGACUAGUAUGAACGGCAUCACGAGGGUUACACUGUCUCCCACUUCUAAUCAGUGAAACUGAUCCCCCCGUGAAGAAGCGGGGAUAAACUUAUAAGACGAGAAGACCCCAUGGAGCUUUAAACUCAGUACCAAUCAUCUAUAACUACACCACAAUAACCCGGUGACCCUGGCUACUAGUUUUAGGUUGGGGUGACCACGGAGCAUAAUAAAACCUCCAUGUUGAAAAACUUCCUCUAAUCCAAGAGUGACAACUCUAAGAAUCAAAAACUGACAUACAUUGACCCAAAUAUUUUGAUCAACGAACCAAGUUACCCUGGGGAUAACAGCGCAAUCCAUUUCAAGAGCUCCUAUCGACAAAUGGGUUUACGACCUCGAUGUUGGAUCAGGGUGUCCCAGUGGUGCAGCCGCUACUAAAGGUUCGU
rnacentral:rRNA from 1 species